CCUCGGGCUCCGUGAGGGGCUGGGGGCGUCCUGAAGACAUGGAGGGAACCCCGGGCGUCGUGAGGGGCUGGGGGCGUCCUGAAGACAUGGAGGGAACCCCGGGGGUCGUGAGGGGCUGGGGGCGUUCUGAGGGCGUUGAAGGAACCCCGGAGGGGCGUGAGGGGCUGGGGGCGUUCUGAGGACAUGGAGGGGCACUCGGGGGUUGUGAGGGACUGGAGUCGUCCGGAGGACAUGGAGGGACCCCUCGGGGUAGUAAGCGGCUGGGGUGGGCGCCAUGAGGGGGUAGAAGCGCUGUGAGGGUAUAGAGGAGACUGAGCCGCUCCCUCGGAGUCAUGAGGGCACGGAGGGGGCUUGAGUAGCUGCGGGGGUCUGUGAGGGCUGUGUGUGCGUGGUCCACGGGGGAAACGCUGCUCUGGGUUUUCCUGUCAGCCUCAGGCUAUGCAAAUGCUGCUUUCCCAGAAGUUUUGGAGUCCCUCGCCCCACAGUCGGUAGGUUGAGGGGUGCGCCUGUUCGCUGGAAAACGCGAGCUCUGAGUCAGCUGCGUGGGGAAAUCCAGCGCUGCUCAGACCGUCCCGGUGUUUUCUUCCUAAAUGUGCCUCUGACUCCCUGUGGAGUCCGUGCUCGGAGGCUCGGGAUGCAGCACUUGGUCUCGCUGGUGGUGGUGGGAUCCCGAGCCCCUCUCACUUUACCUACAGCGGGUGUGAAUAACAGCUUCUCUGACAGGGAUGCUUAGACUUCCAUCACUGUGUUUUUGCCGUGUUUCGAAGGAAAAAGAACAGCAAGAAGUAAAAUUGAACCCUUCAUCCUCUGAUUUGCAGUGGGCAUUAAAGUUUAGUUGCUUAAAAGAAUUAUUUACAGGUGGGUAAUGGUAAAAGGAGCUCUCCUUGUGUGUCUGGUCAUUCAAACCACAGCACAUACUGACUGCUGAAGUGUGGAAAGAACGGAGGAAGAAAAAUGAUGAUGCAUUUUUUUCCUUCAUCUUGUGAAACAAUUUCACGGAAGACAGGAUUUGGGUAAAGAGCUGAGGGUUGUCUCAAGCACUUUGAGGCAAGAGUGGAUUUUGUAACAGGGCUGAGGGGUGAAGUACAUUAGUCUGCUGUGUUGCUGGAAUUCAGGAAGUUGUGGGUUUGUUUUCAAGAGUGCAUGUGAAGCCUGAAACCCAAAGAGCAUCUGCUUUUUACACAAACAUCACUCAAGGUUGGUAGCUGAGACGCAGCGACCUUGGCUGCGACACAGGGAUCUCCAAAUGGAGCAGAACUCUCGGCUUUCCUGUCAGACUUCCCUACAAUCUCUGCUGUUAAUCAAACGCUGCAAUAGCACCUCUUUAAAGCUUGAUUUUGGUGAAUUUAUUUAACCUUGUGCAUGACAGGAAUUGCGCAGAGCCAAGGAAUGACAUUUACUUGACCCUCAUCUUGGAGGUUUGCCGGAGGAACGUGUCCUUGUCAGCCCAGAGCUGGCUGGGAGCUCUGGGAGCCACAGAGCGGGGAAAAGUCAGGGGAAAGGGGCGUCUUGUCAACUGCUCUGCCAGUGCCCUCCCUUUGGAAAUACUGCCGGAGCUUACGUGUUGAAGGUGAAGUAAAUACUAAUAAAGCUGCCGUUAAUUAAAA